AACUUUAAGCACACGUGAGCGUCCUCAGCUGGCAGCCAUGGCUGGCGGGUCCUUCCUAGCAUGUGCUGCGGCCCUCACCUUAUCUUCCGUCAUCAGGGCACAGGCGCCGUGCAGGGCUAUUCCGAGUCCAGGUAGAGAUGGCUGAGCUCGGUGGCAGGAGAUCAGCCUGCGGUGGAGCAGGGACGUUUGCCCUGGGGAGACACGUGCCACCGGGUGGACAUCGAGGCCCUGUGGGUGGCCCUACAGCGUGGAAGGGAUGACCGAGCUUUGGGACAUGUCCUGGAAACCUAAGGUGCUGGAGCUAGAAGAGACUUGAUAGCACUUCAGAGACCAUCAGGCUGUUUCGUGGAACUUCCACCAAAGAGAUGCAGAAAUGGAGACUCCAGAGCUGGAGAGAGAGAGAUGACUCAACUGUUAAAAGCACUGACUGCUCUUCCAGAGGUCCUGAGUUCAAUUCCCAGCAACCACAUGGUGGCUCACAAUUAUCUGUAAUGGGGAUCCGAUGCCCUCCUCUGGUGUGUCUGAAGACAGUGAUGGUGUACUGACAUAUAUGAAGUAAAUAAGUAAAUUAAUAAAUAGAAAUGAGACUCCA
ensembl:processed_transcript Snhg15 small nucleolar RNA host gene 15